UACGGAGGAUGCAAGCGUUAUCCGGAUUUAUUGGGUUUAAAGGGUGCGUAGGCGGAAGAUUAAGUCAGUGGUGAAAUCCUGCAGCUCAACUGUAGAACUGUCAUUGAUACUGAUCUUCUUGAAUACAGUUGAGGUAGGCGGAAUAUGUAAUGUAGCGGUGAAAUGCUUAGAUAUUACAUAGAACACCGAUUGCGAAGGCAGCUUACUAAACUGUGAUUGACGCUGAGGCACGAAAGCGUGGGGAGCGAACAGGAUUAGAUACCCCCGUA
rnacentral:rRNA from 1 species